CCAGGCAUAAUUAAGGUAAAAGAAUAAAACAAGAAAUUCCCAGAAAAUGUUCAUUACACAGGCAAAAUAUUGCUUUUAACUAUUCAGGUACCUGACAGUAGUUUGGUCAGGAAUACAUUGGGGUGGAAAAUUGUGACUAUAAAAGCGAGGCACAGAAUUCAAACGUUAAACAGUCGUUGGCAAAUCUUUGUACGGUGAACAACUCAAGUGGCAGCAGUUCCUAGUUGCAGUGUUGUAAAGUGUUAAUUUGAAAAAUAUACUCUAACCUAAUUGUGAAAUUGAGGUUAUGUGCUAAAAAUAGCUGAAAUUCCCCAGAAAAGUCCGUUGGGACGACCUUUGUCUAUUAUAACCAACACAACCAUGUGAAUGAGUGGUGAUAUGGAAUAAGGAAGUUUUAAUAGACCACAAUGUGUGUGAAAAAGUGUGUGUGGAAGUGCAGCGCAUUGUAGGUCACUUCUAAAAGGCCAUGCAAAUAGAACAAAGUGGUGAAGAUGCUGAAAUAAAGACACUGGGUCUUUCAGCUAAAAUGUCAACGACUGGUUGUGGAAAACAUGCAAAGAUAUAAUCGUGUUAAUUGGUGAUAGCAAAACUUCAUCAUCCAACUCAGAUAGAAACAAAUUCUUGAUGUGAGAAGAUGUGUAACCUAAACCACUGCUAUUGCAACUGGGUUGUUUGUUGCAACACUUAAAACACAAACAAAAUAAAAGCAAGAGUAAAUAAAAUAAGUCAAGCGCUGAGUGAGUUAUGAAAAAAAAACAACUUUUAAUUUAACAACAAAGCAGCACCCGUUUUGUUACUCCUUAACUAUCAACAACUACCAAUACACCACUGCUCCCAAAACUUCGUAAAGCAAAUUCUACACAUUUUCAAUAUGACAUCGUGGCAGCUGUUUUAGAGCUGGAGUUAAUUUUGCUUAUAUCUAUGUAUCCGUCCUUCACCUUAACACGUUGGCUAACGGAGUUGUGAAAGGGCGCAGUAUCUCAAUCAUUUAUCAACCAACCAUUCAUCCAUCCAUGCAACUCUUACUUCUACAAUGGAUUUCAUGAGCAAUUUGUUUGGUAUUUAUGAAAUCUACUGUUAUAAAUCUAUGCCUUUUUCCCCAAUUUUCAGUACAUAUUAGAGUUUUUAUGCUGGAUUUCGCUAAAUUUUACUUUAAAACUACGUUGCUGUUCAUUUUUUAUCUAUCCCCUACUUUGUCAACUACUUUUUUGGAAAUUUGUCGUUUGUUUCUACUUUACUCCUUUGUAUGGUCUUCGUUAAGCAUGGAUAAACUUUUUGGCCAGCAAUAUCAACAUUCGUAAGCAGUUUUAUCAUAUCUUUAUCAAAUAACUAUAUAAUUUUAGGAAAAAGUCUCUACUAAGUCCAUGUAAAAGUAGUAAAACUAAAGGGUUCUUGCAAGAAAAGUUUUGGACAUUACACUACCCUCCCAUAACACAAGUAUCUUAACCCUUAAAUGCAACUACAGCAAUUGUUGUUUUAUGAGGACGAUGAUCGGACUACGUUUUGAUUGAUUGUGGGGAGCAGCUUGCUAACAACUACAGCCAUUGUUGUUUAAAGCAGCCGAAAACAACAGGUUUUCUUUUAUAAUUAUAAAAAAAUUCUGAUUUUUAGCAUUAUGACUCAGUUGAUCGGUGCCUGAGCAUAAUUAAAGUGAGUUUCAUAUAACAACAAAAACCAUUUAAACCAUACGAAGAAGACCUUUCCAAUAUGACCAUUGAGAUUAUGCGUGACUCGUUAAAAGUGUAAGAAAACUUGCAAAUUGUUUUUAGCACUAAUUCGAUUUUUACAGACAACGAAACCUUUACGAAAUUAUGGAGCAAACUCUUCUCUGGUCCUUAAACCAACCAUUAUUAUCACUUUAACACAUGAUGCUUAACUCAGUUGUUGAUAUGAUCCCUGAGCAGCUGUGUUUGGCUUUAAAAAGUGUAAGAAAACAAUGAAAUUGUUUUUACAACUAAUCAAAUUUUUACAGAAUACGAUUUUAAAACUCACGGCCUAUAGAAAAAGAUUUCUUUUAAAAAAGGUUUCUUAAAGGCAGGCUAAUGCGACUCAGUUGAAACGUUCCUGGCCAUAAUUGGAACACUUUUUCUUAAUGGCGGCAUUCUACAGGCAAUUUUAUCAUUUUUUUUCCAAAAAUCCAACAAUUUAAUUUGACUUUUAGGCAUUAUGCGUCUCAGUUGAUCCGUGCCUGAGCCAUAAUAUAUAAUAGAGAUGUUUGCGAAUGGGAUAAGCUGUUAACCUAAAGUACACUCAAACAGGCAGGUGUUAAAUUUUUUAAACAAAUUAUACACAAUUGUUUGAUUUUUAGCAUUAUGGACUCGAUUGUUCAGAUCCUGGACUCAUUUUAUUUGUCUAUUGGUUUCACUUACGUUACAAUGGCAAGAUUUUACAAUAUUCGCCGGCAAACAUUGUUAAUACAACAAAGGCAGGUGUUAAAUUUUAUAAAACACAAACGAAAUUUUUGAUUUUUAGCAUUAUGCGACUCAGUUGAUCCGUGCCUGAGCCAUAAUUUUGAUUGUUAUUUGAUGGGAUAGUGAAUAAUCACAACGACCACACAUUGGACGCAAAACUUGCUUCACGAAUUAACAGGCAGGUGUUGUACAUUUUACAAAUCAUAAAACGAAAUUCUUGAUUUUUAGCCAUUAUGGAAACAUGAACCAUGCCUUUCUCUGGGCCUUAACGUUUAACGUUCAUCAAAAGAUUUAUCCUGGUUUACGAAUUAACAGGCAGGUGUUAUAUUUUACAAAUCACAAAACAAAAUUCUUGAUUUUUAGCAUUAUGCGACUCAGUUGAUCUGUGCCUGAGCCAUAAUUUUGGUUGUUAUUAUAUGGUUAUGCGAAUUUGAAUUAACGUCACGUUAUAGUACCACCAUGGCGGACAAUGCAUCAUCUAAUACACAAAUUAACAGGCAGGUGUUAUAUUUUAUAAAUCACAAAACAAAAUUCUUGAUUUUUAGCAUUAUGCGACUCAGUUGAUCUGUGCCUGAGCCAUAAUUUUGGUUGUUAUUAUAUGGUUAUGUGAAUUUGAAUUAACGUCACGUUGUUAUAGUACCACCAUGGCGGCCAAUGCAUCAUCUAAUAUACAAAUUAACAGGCAGGUGUUAUAUUUUAUAAAUCACAAAACAAAAUUCUUGAUUUUUAGCAUUAUGCGACUCAGUUGAUCCGUACCUGAGCCAUAAUUUUGUUAGUUGUGUUUUUGUUAUCAUCGCUAAAAGCCUUGGAAGGUUUUUCUUUAAACAACAAGGUUUUGUGUACCUAUUGGAACGAACCACCACACUACCUUAUCACUUUGUCCUUCAACAAGCGUAAGAAACAAUGAAAUUGUUUUUUUCAACUAAUGUAAUUUUUACAGACCAACCACAACGUCAAUUGGCGACGAUGUAACCGCUUAAAUAAGUUCUUUCGAAAUAUUCUUCAAUACUACCCAACCGAAUGUUUUAGUGAAUUUUGUCCUGUCCCCAGGCGUGUUAAACAAGAAGUGAUUGUUUUACGAGAAGGCGUUUUAUAUACACCAUACACCCCCCCCCACCGUACUCUGUUCUUUGACCUUAAAAGUGUAAGAAAACAAUGAAAUUGUUUUUACAACUAAUUCACUUCUUACAGCAACAUUUAAUGGUUACUAAGAUAAAACCCGACAUUCAUCCAUACAUCCCGUUCUGCCUAGUAAUAUGAUGAUGAUUUGAAACUAUUAACUCUACACAGUUAAGGCUUUUCUCUUUAACAAAUCGUAUUCUAAUAUAUUUUAGCAGAUCCCCUUUACCUGCUGAGUUUAUAUAUAUAUAUAUAUAUAUAAUGUAAACUUCUCUCUUAGUAGUAAUCUUUAGAGAUUGAAAACCAAAGGAUUUGAUUACAACAACAGGUGCUUACUGCUUUUUAAAUCUCAACUUAAUGGCAAAUUUUUAAACAUCGUUUUAGCUUUUUAUGAAUUGGCCACAAAUGCUUUCUUAUUUGCUGUGUUAUAACCACCAAUGUAAGGAAUUUGUAAAACAAACUUAUUAUGUGUUAAUUGCGGCAAACGUUUUACGACCCCUCACCACCCCACUGGUGGUCGCCUUAAUAAUUUAUGAUUAUUUUGUAAAUUUUUAGACAAACAUAUAUGUAGAUGGAAAUAUAACUUAAACACUUUCAAUCGCUUGUGGCAUAUCUAUAUGGAUAAGGGAAAAUACAAGAUUUUGGCGUAAGAAAACAUGAUUUUGUUUUUCUAAUAUCACAUUGUAUUUUCCAGGCUAGAGAAAUUAUUUGAAAUCGUAAAAAAAAGAAACACAUAAAACAGAAACAGUUUGUUAUUCUCUCAAGCCGUAAGAUUAAAGUUUGAAAUUUUCCCUUUUUUUAAACUAAUACGCUUUUUGCAGAAAUUUGCUUAAGACGAAGUGGAAAUUUUGCUGAUUUUUCUUUUUCUCGUUAAGAAAAAAAUGGAUCAUAGUAAAAGUAUCCUUUAACAAAUGCUGUAAUGCUAUAAAGAAACUAUAUGAUGAAUAACCUACGCUAUCUUAUUUGUUUGUUUGUUAUUUUGUUUCUACUUUCUUGUGUCUUUGUUUUUUUUUCUUUCACCAACAAAAGCUUAAAAUUGCAGAGAUAAAAAAGUCUUUAAUAGUAACUACAACGCUGGCUAACUGGCUAACUAACUAAAGAAAGAAAUUCAUCACAUACACACAAUAUAUUAUAUGUUAUGUAUAUAUAUACAAAUACAAAAAAAAAAUAUUUAAAAAAAACCAGUACGCUAAGGGAAUCGCUUUAAUGAUAUUUUAACAAUAUCGUAAGCCGGUAUUGAUGAAUUUAUUGAAAAAGAACAACAAAAGCCUAGAGCACAAAAGCAGCGUAAGUUUUUUUCUUAAAGCCAGAGUUUAAACAUCAAAUGUAAGACACUAAUAUUAACUCUUAUCCAAACUAAACUUAUAGAGUUUUGCCAACCUCUUGAAAUUACUAGCAAUUUUUACAUAACAAGAGAGAGUCCAAAUGUUUUUCUUGUUUUUUUUUUUUUUGAAAGAAAAUUCUAUAAAAAAACAUACUUUCUAUUAAGCUAAUGAGCUGAACGAGUUUUAAAGAGACUUGGCGUUUAUCACAAAGCACUCUAAAAAUAUAGCUAAGGGAAUCGCUAAUAUUUUUCUGUGACAAUAAAACUAUACUGCAACAGUAGCAGCAGCAAAAAGCAGCAGCAGCAGCAAGUAUAUACUAAUACAUGUGUGUGUAUGUAUGUAAGAGUUUUAGAAUAUCCUGGCAAAUAUUCUAAAAUGUGUUUGUAAAAACAAAUUUCUUAAAAUAUUUAAAGUUGUACAAUUAAAUUUAAAUAAUUUAACUUUACAGAAUAAGAAAUUUAUAAAACAGAAAAAAAACUAUUACUUACUACUAACUACUAGCAACCAGCACCACCAACAAUCCCACCCCCCACCAUUCUCAAAAAAGAAGCUUAAUAAUGCUAAGGGAAUCGCAAAUGUUAUUAAAUGAUAAUAAUCAUAAUAAUAAUGAUGAUGAUAAUGAUAAUGAUGUUGAUGUUGUGUUGAUAACUGGUGGCUCUAUUUGUGGUUAACACUUACUCCAAACAAAUUUCUAAUUAACAGCAACAACAACAACAAACAAACAAGCAAACUCUAAAACAAACAAAUCUUAAAGAUAAAGCGUGUAAGUGUGCUUAUAAUCAUAUUAAAUUUAAGUUUAUUUGUUAUAAAUACAAGCUAAUGAAAUAAUUGCUAAGGGAAUCGCAAUAAAUUAUUUAAUCAUAAGCAUUUAAAGCCAAAAGAAAUACGUCUCUAAUACGUAACGCACAACACCAUUUUGGUAAUUGAAACAUCAAAACUUUACUUUACAAGAAUAUUUAAAGAAAAAAUUCCUCACUUUAGCCUUGAAAUAAGCAAAGUUAUAAAAGUAUUAUUAUAAUAUGAAAAAAAACUUGUGUUAGAAAGCUUCUUCCUAGCAAGGAAUUGAGCAGCCAAACAAUAUUGUAAAAUUUGUAACAUUUUUACACUAAAGCCAGGCAUUAAGUUUCAAAAUUGUUUAGUAAUUGUUUAUAAAAAUCAAAGUGAAGCAAAGUAAAUAAAAAUUGUGAUAGUUUUUGUUUUUGUAAAAUUUUUUCUUGUAGAACAUUAUAAAAAAAUUUUAGACAAAUUCCAAGAAUUAUACAUUUAAACCAAAAGCAUUAAAGUUCUAGUGACUCUAAAAAGAAAGAUCAUACAAGAAAUGAUCGAUCGUAUUUCGAAAUGUAAAUCCUUUUUUUUAAAACUAAAGGUUAUUCGAUGAACAAAGAGCACAACUUUAAAACUCAUGAUUCAUUACGUAUGAUUGUGUAGUUAAAUGCUUGUUUAAAUUAUUAAAGUUUUGUCUUAAAUCUAUAAGUAUUUUAUAUAGAUAAAUGCAUGCUAUUUAUUAUUAAAGUAUUAAGUAUAUUAUAAUGUCUACAAAAAGUUUUAACAAUUAACAAAUUUUGAAAACUAAAUAACAAGCUCACUUGAAAGACUACAAGAAAACUAAAGAAAAAUAAUGUUGUAGCUUUAGAGGUGGCUAAAGAGAUGUACAAAUUUUAGCUUACGAAAACAAAGCGGCUUUUGAAAAAGAGUCUGCGCCAAACUAAAUGCCUAAUGAGAGAGAGGUUCACUAUAUUUUUGAGAAAAGAAUUAAGUGAGCAAAACUUUUCAAAUGGUCAACAAAACACAGCGGCUUUGUUAAAAAGCCAGUAAAACCAAAUGCCUAAUGGAACAGCAGGAGUUACACUAUAUUUUUGAAAAAAAGAAUUAAGUGUCAGGCAAAACUUUCCACAUGGUCUUAAAGCAGCACAAAAAGUGCUUGCCUCAACAAAAAACAACGAUUUUUUUAAGUUCCUUUUUUUAGACCGCAAAAGCUAUAAAACAAUAAUGAAACCUUAAGCCAGAAAUGAAAGAAGAGCGAGUGAAGAGAGAGUGAUCUAAACUAGAAGAGCACGUUUAAUAGUACCCGCACUUAAGCAGUCAGCUGUAACUUUUCCAACGUUUUUCUUCUUUUUUUGUGUGUUUUCUUUUCUUGCUUCUUAACAACUUUUUUAUAGGAUCAUGUCUCAGUUGAUCGGUGCCUGGGCAUGAUAUUGAUAAAUGACGAUAAUUAACAGAGACAAAAUCACACAGAGUGUGUGAGAGAGAGAGAGACAACCUUAAUUUGGGGGUGACAACUAUUGUCGAAACUUUCUUUUUCUUCUUUCUUUUUUUGUUUGUUUUUUGUUCUACGUUUUCUUUUUUUAUAUAUACAACUUUUUUUAGCUUUAUGUCACAGUUGAUCGGUGCCUGUGCAUAAUUAAGAUCUCAAAUGAUGAAACAGCAAAAGAGUGAGAGAGACUAUAAAUGACUUGGGAUGUUAGUUUGAGAGAGCGGCGUUCUUGCUAAAAGAACGCCUCACUGGACUUGAAAACAAUCGCUUGGACUUUUUGUGUUUCUGUUUUCUUCUUGAUUUUUCUUUCUUUUUUCUCUCUAUUAUUCAACUAUGUUUUAGCAUUAUGCAACAGUUGAUCGGUGCCUGUGCAUAAUUAUUAUGAGUUUACAAAAACAAGUGAUGAGAGUAAAAGAGAGAGAGAGAUACUUUAUAAAAUGGGUUAAAUUUGGGCCAAGCGAUGAUGAGCAUACUUUGAAAUCAUAGUGAGAGGAGGGGGACUAUGCCUAAGGAGGACGACAACUUGUGUUUUCCUUUUCUUUUUCUUCUCGAUUUUCUUUUUCUUUUUUUUUCUAUAAUUAUACAAAUUUGUUUUAGCAUUAUGUUACAGUUGAUCGGUGCCUGUACAUAAUAUGUAUUUCUUGAAAUCUCCUCUAAAGAGUAUAUUGUGUUUUGUGUGCCAAGAGAAAAAGAGACUGAAGAUAGACAAACAAGUGGAAGAAAGUGGAAGCUUAACCAGAAAGACAGAAUCUCUGUUGGUUUCCGGUUUUUGUUCUCUUUUUUUUUGUGUUUUCUUUUUUUUACUUUCUAUUUCUUUUUGUAGACCCCACAGAGUAGUAGUUAUUUUUUUUAUUUCUUUAGCCUGCAUACACAGUUGAACGGUGCCUGUGUAUGAUGUGAAAAAGAAGAGAGUGAGAGAGGGACAUUUCAUAUAUACAAGAUUCCUUAACUGACAACUAUCUAAUGAUUUUGUGCAGAAGAUUAAUUUCUUUACUACUUAACGAAUUUUUUAACUUGAGAGCAGCGACUACAGCCAUUGUCGUUUUAAUACAAAAAAACUUUUCUACAACAACAACUACGUUGCCUAAAAUAUUAAGAGAUUUAAGAAAAGAACACAACACAGGUUAUUUAUUUACAUUUCAAUUCCUCUUCGCUAAUUACUACCAUUUACAGGCAUUUCCUUUUUUAUCCUACAACCACAAAAUAUAUUGAAUUUUUCAUUUUCCUAACACAACCUCCAUCACCACCACCACCACCACGUACACUUAAAGUAUCUGUAUGCAACCAUCUAUCUACAAAUAUCGUUAAAGGGAAUCUAUACGAUACAACAACUCAGCAGGGCUUCAUGAAAAAAUUAAAAAAAAAAAAAAAUUAACAAACG